CUUGAUGGUGGCUGUGCGCAGGGCGCCUUCGGGUGCGCCGGGUUUGUGUGGGAUACCGGUCUACUAACCUGCGUACAGCUGCCACCCUC
rfam:Pseudomonas fluorescens SBW25 complete genome